GAUCUGACUGCAACAUCUGUCACCCCACGGAUUGCUUGAUUGAAUCCGCUGAGCUGGCUGGCUAGAUAGGUGUCUUCUUAUGUGCUCCUUUCUAAGUUGCUAGCAAGGCAGAAGAGGAUGGCCUUUCUGUAAUAGAGAAUGAAACUUCUUUAGUCUACAAUAUACUAGUUUGAGUGCCCCUUUCUAGAACCACCAAACAAGAUCCACACAACAUCCAAACAAAUGAGGUUCUGUGUGGGAAAACUGGUGAAGGGAAGUGGACACUCUAGUAGACUGUUUGAAAGUUUAUUGCAUAAAAU
rnacentral:snRNA from 1 species